CCCUUAGAUGUUCUGGGCCGCACGCGCGCUACACUGACGAAUGCAACGAGCUUAUAACCUUGGCCGAAAGGUCUGGGUAAUCUCCAAAUUUCGUCGUGAUGGGGAUAGAUUAUUGCAAUUAUUAAUCUUCAACGAGGAAUGCCCAGUAAGCGCAAGUCAUCAGCUUGCGUUGAUUACGUCCCUGCCCUUUGUACACACCGCCCGUCGCUCCUACCGAUUGAAUGGUCCGGUGAAGCGUUCGGACCGUGGCCUUUGGACGGUUCGCCGUCUGUUGGCUGCGGGAAGUUCGUUAAACCUUAUCAUUUAGAGGAAGGAGAAGUCGUANCA
rnacentral:rRNA from 1 species